GUAGGGAAUAUUGCGCAAUGGACGAAAGUCUGACGCAGCGACGCCGCGUGAGUGAUGAAGGCCUUAGGGUCGUAAAGCUCUGUUGAAUGGGAAGAAAAAAAUGACGGUACCAUUCGAGGAAGGACCGGCUAACUUCGUGCCAGCAGCCGCGGUAAUACGAGGGGUCCUAGCGUUGUUCGGAAUCAUUGGGCGUAAAGGGUGUGUAGGUGGCCAUGUAAGUCAGGUGUGAAAGCGCCGGGCUCAAACCGGGAAGUGCACUUGAUACUGCGUGGCUUGAGUACCGAAGAGGGUAGUGGAAGUCCAGGUGUAGUGGUGAAAUACGUAGAUAUCUGGAGGAACACCGGUGGCGAAGGCGGCUACCUGGUCGAGUACUGACACUGAGACACGAAAGCAUGGGGAUCAAACAGGAUUAGAUACCCGGGUAGUCC
rnacentral:rRNA from 1 species